UAAACCUUCACCCCUGAUUUUGUCUAGUACAAGGACAGGUUGGUGCUUUGGGCGUCUGCCGUUCAGUCUGGCUCGCCUUAAAUGUCUAAGUGGAUUUUGCGUGAUUAAGUCUUCGCAUGAUUGUCCACUCUAAUCAAUCUUAUA
rnacentral:misc_RNA from 1 species